rnacentral:rRNA from 1 species
AGACGUCUACAUUAGAUACCCGGGUAGUCCCAGCCGUAAACUAUGCGCGUUAGGUGUAUCGGUGACCACGAGUUACCGAGGUGCCGAAGGGAAACCGUGAAACGUGCCGCCUGGGAAGUACGGUCGCAAGGCUGAAACUUAAGGAAUUGGCGGGAGCACCACAACAGGUGGAGCCUGCGGUUUAAUUGGACUCAACGCCGGGAAGCUCACCGGAUAGGACAGCAGAAUGAUUGCCGGGCUGAAGACCCUGCAUGACUAGCUG